AGGGAUGAAGCUUAUAUAAGCAAUUAGCUGUUACCUAAUAGAUAGUGAUCAUACUCCACCUACCCUA
rnacentral:tRNA from 1 species